rnacentral:rRNA from 1 species
UGGGGAAUUUUGGACAAUGGGCGCAAGCCUGAUCCAGCCAUGCCGCGUGCGGGAAGAAGGCCUUCGGGUUGUAAACCGCUUUUGUCAGGGAAGAAAUCUUCUGAGUUAAUACCUCGGGAGGAUGACGGUACCUGAAGAAUAAGCACCGGCUAACUACGUGCCAGCAGCCGCGGUAAUACGUAGGGGUGCAAGCGUUAAUCGGAAUUACUGGGCGUAAAGCGUGCGCAGGCGGUUUUGUAAGACAGAGGUGAAAUCCCCGGGCUCAACCUGGGAACUGCCUUUGUGACUGCAAGGCUUGAGUGCGGCAGAGGGGGAUGGAAUUCCGCGUGUAGCAGUGAAAUGCGUAGAUAUGCGGAGGAACACCGAUGGCGAAGGCAAUCCCCUGGGCCUGCACUGACGCUCAUGCACGAAAGCGUGGGGAGCAAGCAGGAUUAGAUACCCCUGGUAGUCC